AGCAGCCGCGGUAAUUCCAGCUCCAAUAGCGUAUAUUAAAGUUGUUGCAGUUAAAAAGCUCGUAGUUGGAUUUCGGGAUCAGUUCGUCGGUCGUGCCUUUGGUAUGUACUGGUGUUACUGGUUCCUCCCUUCUGACGAACUGUCAUGUCAUUAAUUUGGUGUGGCGGGAAAUCAGGACUGUUACUUUGAAAAAAUUAGAGUGUUUAAAGCAGGCUCGCGCUUGAAUACAUUAGCAUGGAAUAAUGAAAUAGGACGUUCGAUCCUAUUUUGUUGGUUUCUAGGAUUGACGUAAUGAUUAAUAGGGAUAGUUGGGGGCAUUAGUAUUCAAUUGUCAGAGGUGAAAUUCUUGGAUUUAUUGAAGACUAACUACUGCGAAAGCAUUUGCCAAGGAUGUUUUCAUUAAUCAAGAACGAAAGUUAGGGGAUCGAAGACGAUCAGAUACCGUCGUAGUCUUAACCAUAAACUAUGCCGACUAGGGAUCGGAUGAUGUUAAUUUUUUAAUGA
rnacentral:rRNA from 1 species